UACGGAGGGAGCUAGCGUUGUUCGGAAUUACUGGGCGUAAAGCGCACGUAGGCGGCUUUGUAAGUUAGAGGUGAAAGCCCGGGGCUCAACCCCGGAAUUGCCUUUAAGACUGCAUCGCUUGAAUCCGGGAGAGGUGAGUGGAAUUCCGAGUGUAGAGGUGAAAUUCGUAGAUAUUCGGAAGAACACCAGUGGCGAAGGCGGCUCACUGGACCGGUAUUGACGCUGAGGUGCGAAAGCGUGGGGAGC
rnacentral:rRNA from 1 species